rnacentral:rRNA from 1 species
AACGAACGCUGGCGGCAUGCCUAACACAUGCAAGUCGAACGAGACCUUCGGGUCUAGUGGCGCACGGGUGCGUAACGCGUGGGAACCUGCCCUUAGGUUCGGAAUAACUCCCCGAAAGGGGUGCUAAUACCGGAUAAUGUCUUCGGACCAAAGAUUUAUCGCCUUUGGAUGGGCCCGCGUUGGAUUAGCUAGUUGGUAGGGUAAAAGCCUACCAAGGCGACGAUCCAUAGCCGGUCUGAGAGGAUGAUCAGCCACACUGGGACUGAGACACGGCCCAGACUCCUACGGGAGGCAGCAGUGGGGAAUGGUGGACAAUGGGCGAAAGCCUGAUCCAGCUAUGCCGCGUGAGUGAUGAAGGCCUUAGGGUUGUAAAGCUCUUUUACCCGGGAUGAUAAUGACAGUACCGGAAGAAUAAGCUCCGGCUAACUCCGUG